rnacentral:rRNA from 1 species
UAAUGCACCAAAUCUCAUUAGAACUCCGUAGUUAAGUGAUUUUCAGUUAGAGUAGUACUCAGAUGGUCUUUGGGCUAGAGUAGUACUCAUGGGUGACAACCGGGAAAGUCCUAGUGGUCCCAUGU